rnacentral:rRNA from 1 species
UACGUAGGGUGCAAGCGUUGUCCGGAUUUAUUGGGCGUAAAGAGCUCGUAGGCGGUUUUGAAAGUCAGGUGUGAAACCUCCAGGCUCAACCUGGAGACGCCACUUGAUACUUCAAUGACUUGAGUUCGGUAGGGGUAAGCGGAAUUCCUGGUGUAGCGGUGAAAUGCGCAGAUAUCAGGAGGAACACCGAUGGCGAAGGCAGCUUACUGGGCCGAUACUGACGCUGAGGAGCGAAAGCGUGGGGAGCGAACAGG